rnacentral:rRNA from 1 species
AUUGAACGCUGGCGGCAUGCCUUACACAUGCAAGUCGAACGGCAGCGGACCUUCGAGUGCCGGCGAGUGGCGAACGGGUGAGUAAUAUAUCGGAACGUACCUUUCAGUGGGGGAUAACGUAGCGAAAGUUACGAUAAUACCGCAUAUUCUGUGAGCAGGAAAGCAGGGGAUCGCAAGACCUUGCGCUGAUUGAGCGGCCGAUAUCAGAUUAGCUAGUUGGUGGGGUAAAGGCCUACCAAGGCUACGAUCUGUAGCGGGUCUGAGAGGAUGAUCCGCCACACUGGAACUGAGACACGGUCCAGACUCCUACGGGAGGCAGCAGUGGGGAAUUUUGGACAAUGGGCGCAAGCCUGAUCCAGCAAUGCCGCGUGUGUGAAGAAGGCCUGCGGGUUGUAAAGCACUUUCAGUGGGGAAGAACAGAUUCGGGUCAAUACCCCGGAGCCCUGACGUUACCCACAGAAGAAGCACCGGCUAACU